UACGGAGGGGGCUAGCGUUAUUCGGAAUUACUGGGCGUAAAGCGCACGUAGGCGGAUUGGAAAGUUGGGGGUGAAAUCCCAGGGCUCAACCCUGGAACUGCCUUCAAAACUCCCAGUCUUGAGGUCGAGAGAGGUGAGUGGAAUUCCGAGUGUAGAGGUGAAAUUCGUAGAUAUUCGGAGGAACACCAGUGGCGAAGGCGGCUCACUGGCUCGAUACUGACGCUGAGGUGCGAAAGCGUGGGGAGCAAACAGG
rnacentral:rRNA from 1 species